rnacentral:tRNA from 1 species
GGAAGGCAGCCGGAUACGGUUGGCCGGGCCUCCUUGCUAAGGAGUGCGCCCUCUUCGGGGCGUGAGGGUUCGAAUCCCUCGCCUUCCG